rnacentral:rRNA from 1 species
AGAGGAUGACCAGCCACACUGGAACUGAGACACGGUCCAGACUCCUACGGGAGGCAGCAGUGGGGAAUAUUGCACAAUGGGCGCAAGCCUGAUGCAGCCAUGCCGCGUGUGUGAAGAAGGCCUAAGGGUUGUAAAGMACYUUCAGCGAGGAGGAAGGGUAGUGUGUUAAUAGCACAUUGCAUUGACGUUACKCKCAGAAGAAGCACCGGCUAACYCCGUGCCAGCAGCCGCGGUAAUACGGAGGGURCAAGCGUUAAUCGGAAUUACUGGGCGUAAAGCGCACGCAGGCGGUUWGUUAAGUCAGAUGUGAAAUCCCCGCGCUUAACGUGGGAACUGCAUUUGAAACUGGCAAGCUAGAGUCUUGUAGAGGGGGGUAGAAUUCCAGGUGUAGCGGUGAAAUGCGUAGAGAUCUGGAGGAAUACCGGUGGCGAAGGCGGCCCCCUGGACAAAGACUGACGCUCAGGUGCGAAAGCGUGGGGAGCAAACAGGAUAAGAUACCCUGGUAGUCCACGCUGUAAACGAUGUCGAUUUGGAGGUUGUGCCCUUGAGGCGUG